CCUCAUCUACUAUUCUCUCUCUCUCUCUCUAAUUCUAUAAAAACCAGAUCUUGAAUCUCCACUACCUCUCUCAUCAAUCAUCAUCACCUCACAUAUACAUAUUCUUCUUCUUUUCUUCUUCUUUUUUUCAUCGUACAAACAUAAACAUUACAUCAUAUGUUCUGAUAUUUUAUAUAUUUAUAACAUCUUCUGAUCGAUCCUCAUCACUUUCAUCAUACCUUCUUCUUCUUCUUCUUCUUUUCAUGAGUUUUGAUAAUAAUAAUAAUAAUUAUUAUUUUUUUUUUUUUAAAAAAAAUCUCUAUGAAUCCAUCGAAGAUGGGGGGACGAUCUAUGGCCUAAUUAGAAGUAGCAGUAGACCCACACCCACACCCACACCCACACCUGUAGCUUAUCUUCUUGGCUUUUAGGUUUUAAUUUCAAAAGUCGUUGCCCCAUCACUACUCCCAUCCAUCUCCGCCACCAUUAUCUAUAUUUAUUUUUAUUUUAUCUAUUUUUUCUAUAUUUUAUUAGGGUUACAACUUCCACACCAGUAAUUGGUGUGUCCUUUUAAUAUAUAUAUAUAUAUAUAUUAAAUAAUAUAUAUAUUUUAAAAUCAUCGUUUAUCUGAAAUAUUUUCCUCGUGGAAUCUGUGUAAGUCUCUAUUCGAUCGAAGUUUUAUAUAAUAAAUAUAUAUUUGUCGAAAUUAAACAAAAAAAGAAGUCAUUAUUUGCAGGUGCAUCAUCAUCAAGAUUCACAAAGUGACAAUAUUGGUGUUUUCAUAAACCUAAUAAGUAAGACGGUAUAUCUGAUCCCCUGAGAAUCUUGAUGAUGCUGCAUCAGCAACUAUAUGACUAUAGAUAUAUACAAAACGACGACGUCAAAUCACUGCUCCAAACCCAAACCCAAAGCUAUAAAGACAGACAGAAUAAUCAUCCAUGCUUCACAUAGUCACCGUCUCAGCUUACUAAGCUAAAUUCGAGAUGUAUAUAUUGCCCUUUUCAACAAAGGUAUAUACUGCCAUUAAUUCCAGGUAGCGAUCGAUUAAUUACAAGUAAUAAUAUAUUGUUUUAAGUGACAGUAAUUAAUGGUAUAUAUAUAUGGGAUUCUUAUUUUAUUUUAAGGCACCCUCGUAAGUGUUAGUAAUUUCCCAAAGAUAUAGCAGAAAAAAAAUUGUACCAAUAACAUUAUAACCAUACCCUUAGCAUUUCUCAUAUACAAAUAUAUGCAUUCAUUCAUAAUGGAUAAGAGUUUUGUUUUUCUUUUCAAAUUUUCAUUUUCCCUCCUUUAUCCCAAGAAAAAUAGUACCAGUGUCCACCCACUUAUUAAUUUCUUCUUAUAUAAACUAAUCAAUAUAAGCUCUUGUGUGUCAGGAAUCAAGUUUAUAUUUUCAUUUCUCAAUUAUAUAUAUGGGCUAUAUAAUGAUUGAUACCAUACAUGUGAAGAUAAUGAUUAUUGGUUUCUGUAGUUCAACUUUGUGUACGGCUUUUAAUUUCUCAUACACUUAGUACGGACAUUAUUAUGAUUCUGCUGAUAAUAAGUAGAAUAUCCAUACAUAUAUAUAUAAAUGUGAUAUAUAUUUAUAUAUAUGUGUAUAUUGUAUACAUAGAAUAGUACCAAUGGAGAAUAUUGAUCACAGCAAAGAGUUAGUACUUUGUUCAUUUGGGGAACUAUUUCUCUUACUGAAUGAGAGCACAAAUAAACUUUUACUCCUGGCUAGUACUAACUGUUACUUCUAGAACUAAAACUAGAACUAGCUAGGUAUAAAUAAAGGUAUAUGUAAGAUUUAUUUAUUUAGAUAUUUAUUUUUAUUUCUUUCCACAUUUUUAAUUUUUCCUUUAUACCUAUAUAUAUAUAUAUCUUGAAAGAAAUUGAUAAACCCAUUUUUGAAUUAGAUCAGGCUACACCAUUAAUAAUUACAUAUAUAUGUAAUAUUAAAAUUUGGGUUAAGAGAUGCAGUGUUCACAAUGACCUGAAACUUUUUUAUCAUCUAGUAGAUAUUUGUGUGUGUUAUGGGCUGAAAAGUGUGUAGUACUACUACUCACAAUCUCGAUGACUGUUUUUCUUACAUAUAUUACUCAUGAAGGGGGCAACAGGGUUCGAUGAGCAGAGAAAUAUAGUAUGUACACACAUUUAUUUAUAUAGAUAUAUAUAAAUAUGUAUGAUGUUUACAUAAAUUAUCAGUACUAUAAUAAUACCGUUAUGGACUUUACAGCAAUUAUUAAUGUCAUAAAUAUCCAAGCAUGCAAAGUUAGCUCUUAGUUAUAUGUCUAUGUAUAUGUAUAAUAUUCGUAUAUGUAUUGCAUAUUAAGGCAUAUAUAAGUGUGACUGUGAGGGUUAGAAUUGAUAGAGUAUUUAGUGUAAUUAUUAAGUUUACAUAGUAAGAAGAGUACGUAAGAUAGGGAAAGCAAAUGGUCAAAGUAAAUGAUCUAUAAUUAAAAACCUUGCCCGUUUUCCUCUGUCAAAGGAAAGAGAGCCCAUUAGCAAAAAUUACUAGAAUUAUUUGUUGUUUUUGUCACCAAAUUUAGGAUCUUUAAGCUACCUUUGGUGGUGUAUUAAGUUCUCUGAGUUGUUAAAGAACUCAGAAGUUUUAGAAAACCUUAUUAAUUAAUAUAGAUCGAAAUUGUAGAGUAAGAUUAAUUUUGAGAGUGAAAAAAGGCAAACUAAGAAAGGAACCAAAUUCUUAGCCUAGCCCAAAUCCAAUCAAACUUUGGGUUUGUGAGACAGAGUUUGGGAAAAAUAACGAUUUGGUAAUAAAAUUAAUGUUUUAAUGAAAUAGUUCCUAAAAAAUCAUAUCAAAGUAUAUACUAGCUAUCUCUUUUCUGAAGCAUUUAUAAUUGACAUUAUUAUGCCUUCUUCACCUUUUUUUCUAAUGACAUAAAUGCCUUAAUUAGCUUGAGAAUCGUACACAUAAAAUAAAGUGACUUGUCUGCAGGUAUAACCAUUAGUAAAUAUUUUUUUUCUUGUUUUUAUGUGUACAUAUUAUGCAUAUACAUUACAAAUAUUUGGGAAACAUUUGGGUCCAUGUAUACUAUACCUCAGAUCGAGUGUAGUAACUAUCGAGCAUGCUUUGAAUACAGAUCAUACUGUGAGUAUAUAUAUAGACAUAAUAUAAUAUGCAUCAAUUAUUUCAUGAAUAAAGAUUCAUGAAGUCUCAUAGUAUAUAUAUAUAUACAUGUAUCAACUGUCUUUGUACGUGUGCAUAUAUAUAUAUAUAUCUGUUACACUGUGCCAGGGACAUAUAUAUAUAUAUAUACUGUAUGAAUUGAAAAUUUUGAACAUGAAAAUGAAAAUGAAAGGAAGAAUCUUAUAAUGCCAUGUCAAGUGGGGGCAAAUGUUGAGAAAAGGUGUUAUGUCAUUUUGAAAAAAGUGAAAAUUGAAGGGACAGGCCUUUAUUAUUCCUUCACCCAAAGCUCCACUGAUCCGUAGUACAAUGAAAUCGUAGGAAAUCCUUAUCGACUAGUAACAUGUUUGUAUUCACAUGCAACUUAUAAAUAAUGCAUGGACACCUCCGACUAUACCUCCUGCUUUUCCUUCUUUUUUAUUCCACAAAUGUUAAAAAGGCAUCUCUAGUACAACUUAAGUUAUAACAUUGUUAUUGUAGUAGAAUUAAGUAUCCAAUUUUAUAUAAUUUAAUGCAACAAUUUUUAUGAAGUAUCGAUUUUUAAUCGCAUUAAUAAAAAUGCUCUUUUUAUUCUAAUUCAUUAAUACAUGAUGAUGAAGUAUCGAUUUUAAUGUAGUUUUUUGCUUCUUUUUUGCUCAGUAUGUAUAUACAUAUAUAGUAGAUGAUAUUUAUUUUGCUAUACAGUUAGACUACAAGAAAGGGCUCUAUCGAUAACAUUACUACAUCACAAAUUGGUAUGUAUAACUUCUACCAACGUCAAGUGUUACUGUUGCUAUGAUUUUAUGAUAAAAGUGUUAAUUCUAUUUCUUGAGUACAAAUAUAUGUGAAGUUAAUACUCAAAAAUAAGUACAAUAUAUGUGAAUCUAUAAUAGUGUAAAUAUACUUUCAUAAAUAAUUUGAUAUAUAUAUAGAUCAAGAUUUUUCUUCUUCUUAUUACUCCUUCUUUCGUUGGAUAAAAAUGAAACAUUUUCUAAUGCUACUGUUGAUUUAAGAGUGUCUUUUCGAAUCUUGUAACAGAAAUUGAAUAAUUAAUAUAAUUCAAAAUAAUUACAAAAUUAACUUCAUGUAAAAAUAAAAAACCUAAAUAAUUUGAUGGUUGUGACGAAUAUUUUAUUUCUUUUGGUCUUCUUUUAUGGGUGAAAAAACAGAAGAUUCUUUUAGAACUAUUUCUAUUGCUAAUUGUUCAGUUUCAUAAAAUGCAUCGAUUAAUGCUGAAUGCCCAUGUGGCCGGGGUGAAAAAAUGGUUUCGUAGGAUCUGGUAAAAAGUGGUCAAAUUAUGUAAAACUAACAAGAAUUUAUCAAAAAUAUUAGACAGAUUUUCUACUAUAAAAUGAGAAUAUAAUUUCUAAGUGUAAGAAAAAAAAAACAACACUCCUACCAUAUGUAGAGGUAAAAAACAUGCACGAUCCCUUUAGGAAUUCCAUUAAUUGAUGAGUGGGUUAGUUUAUGACAAAAUGUUAAUUAUAGCUUAUACAACUGCCCAGCACUUAAGUACGGACACUAUAUUUUUUGUUUCCAAUAUAUAUGUACAGCAAUAUUAAUAUAUAAUGGAUCAUGAUGAUAUAUAACACCUUUUGAAAAAUUAUAACAUAUACAGAUACAAUAAUAGGGGAACUAGGGCCACGUGUACGACCCUCUUUUUUUUUCUCAAAAAAUUAUAGUUUUUUUUUUUUUGAAAAAAGUUAUUAUAAAUUAAAUACAGCUAUUUACAAUAACAAAGAAAAUAGUAGAAGGAAUUUCUUCUAUCCAUAUAUAUACAAUCACUAUCCAACUGUAAUGCUUGUUUAGCCAGGCCAUAUGCGGCUUGAUUAGCAUCCCGUCUAGUAUGAGAUACGCAAGUAUUAGAGAAAGAGGAUAAAUGAUAUGAAACAUCUUUAACCGAAUCAUAAAAAACAGAAUAUUGUCACGAUUUUCCAUUUAACACAUUGACAAGCAUUAAGCAACCUGUUUCCAUAUAGUGAAGUUGUAGUUGCAAUUGUUCAACCUAUUGAAGACCACAGAACAUGGCCUUGGCUUUUCAUCUCCUGCGACUUGUAAUUUCCGACUACUGGUUAAUUUGGACAUUGCAGCCACAACACAACCAUUUGAAUCCUUAAUAAUCACACCAAUACUAAUUUUACUCCUCGAAGAAUCAAUAGCCGCAUCAACAUUCAUUUUUAAUUUGGUCUCUGGAGGAGGUUGCCACAAAAUGCAGUCUACUGGAGCUGCUGCACUAACAGCUACUGGUUUGACAGCAUUGUUAAAAUUUUGAAAAUUGUCCAAGUAUGCAUCAACUUGUGACAAUAUUUGGACCGGUUUUUUCAGUUAUUUUCCAUGAAUGAAGUUGUUUCUAUCUGACCAAGUAAAUCACAUUAUGCAGAUUACUCUUCCCAAUUCAGACUUGGUUAGAAUUGUGGAUAAAUACAUCAUAUAGUCACCAUCUUUCAUACGAUCCGCUUUAUUGAGAUCAAAAUUAGUAAUUUGCCAGACUGCUUUGGCAUGACAACAAGAGAAAAGAGCAUGUCCCAUAGAUUCCCAUGCCAUUGAACAUAGUGAACAAGUAGCAGAGGUUAUGAUUUUUUUAUGAAACAAAGAUUUGACGACUGGAAGGGCAGAUUGAAUAACUCUUUAUCCAAAAAAUUUCACCUUGGAAGGAAGAGUUAUGCCCCAAAACAGAUUCCACCAGACUUCUUGAGCAUUUGAACUUGAGAAUACAUCAUGUUGCGAUAAUUUGCACACGCAAGUGUACGUACCGUUUCAAGUAGUAGACUCACCAGGAGUGGGGUCGAUCCCACAGGGAGUGUAGUUAAGUACAUUAAAAUUAAACUUUUACUUCUAUUUGGUUAAAUAAAAAUAAAGAAAGAAUUAAAAAUAAGAAACUAGUAAGAAACAAUUAUUCAAGAAAAUUGAUAGUUAAUAAAAACUAGGGCUUCGAUUUCAAUUGUUUCUAUUGAAUAUGGUCUAAUAUGAUUAUUUUCCUAAUAUUAAUUUCUAUGCAAUAGCACGUUUACUAAGGUAAUUUAUAGUCUUCUGAGAUAUAUAAAUCUCAAUUACAUGCAAACUUUCUACUCUCGUGAUAAAUUUAACAUGGAAUAGGCAUUAAGCAUAAAAACCCCAUAAGCUAUCUAAACCAUAUAGGUACUCUCGUCCUAUAUCGAAAUUCAGUUCUAUUUUACUAUAGCAUAUUUCACACUCACUUCUCAGAUCUCGCAUCAAACUCAUAGACAGAUAAUUGGUGAUCAGGCAAUUAAAAGUAAUUAAGCACAAAUAAAAUAGAAUACAUAGAAAUUAGGGGGAAAAUAAAUCAUAUUAAAACCAUAAACAAUGUUAAACAAUAUUCAUAUAACCCUAAUUAAAGUGUUUAGCUACACAUGUUCAUUGAAGCACAAUUACACAUAUUAACUUUAAGAAAAGAGAUGAAAAUAGAGAAGAGAAGAAGAAAAGAAUGCUGAAAAAUCCUGAGCAGUGUGCCUCCAAUAUUGCAGUUGAUCUCUCCACUCUGUAUCUGAAUUCUCUCUUUUUUUCUCUUUGAAAUUGCUUGACUGAAAUCAACUCCAGUUCAUCCUUUAUAUAGGCUUUCAGGGACUAAAAAGAUAGAAAAACGCACAUGUUAAAUGCCUAUACGAUUUUUGUGCUGUUUAGGGGGGCGGGCCGCGGCAUGCUAAAGCCAUGCCGCGGCCCGUGUUGGAGGUGAUUUUUCUGCUGCGUCGACUAAUAGUAUUUUGGCCAUAACUCUCUCGACAUUGCUCGGAAUCGGACGAUUCAAGAUGUUCUGAAAAGAUAAAAGAGAGAUAUAGAACUUUUAUAUUUUGAAUUUGUUCAAAAUCUUAUCAGAAGAUAGUCGAAUUCAGGCUUGAAGUUGCAGCUUUAUUUUCAUACACAGUUUUCUCUAUUUUAAAUAUCAUCUUUUUGUGAGAUAUUUUUAUCUUUUUUUCCAUCUUUUUCCUCUUAUAUUUUUCUAAUCUUCUUUUAUUUUAAAUCUGCAAAAAUAAAAGAUAACAAGCGUAAAAAUGCUCCAAAUACGAUUAAAACUCAAUUAAAAAUAUACUAAACUUAAUCUAAAAUUAAUACUAAAAAUAACCUAACACAUCACGAUCUUCAUAAGAUUAGGCCAAAUGAUAACCUGUUUUAACAGUGUAUUCCCCUGAACAAUCAUAAUGCCAUGUAUCCAUCUAUUAUUGCAGGGAUGGAAAGGCAAUGGAAUAGUAAGAAUUCGCUCUACAUGAUCAGCUGGUGAAAAAUUAGCUUGUAGGAGCUCCAAGUCUUAUUCCCGUGAUGCUGAUAUGUAGUCUGCAACUUGAUUCACAGCUUGUCCAGUAAAGCGCAAUGGUUUAAAAUAUUCAUGGCCAGGAAUCCAUGAAUCAUAAGCACACCUCAAAGUAGUACCAUCUCCAAUUUUAAUCCUUAAUCCUUUCGGUAACAACUCUCUACCCCAAACGAUACUCUGCCAUGUUAAAGAGGACAAUCCACCAGCAGUAGUGGACAUGAAAUCAUUGUUGGAGUAGUAACGAACCUUUACAACACGGCUUAGCAGAGUAUGAGGGUUUUGAAAAAUACGCCAAGCUUGCAUUGCUAAAAAGGCUUGGUUGAAAUGCACAAAGGAUCUAAAGACCAAUCCACCUUCUCGUUUAGAAGUACAUAGGGAUUUCCAAUUCUUCCAAUGUAUUUUUUUUAUUAUCUAAAGAAGGACCCCACUAAAAUUUUGUCAUCAUAGUCUCAAUCUGCUUACAAAACUUUGUAGAUAAUCUGAAACAACUCAUUGCAUAUGUGGGAAUUGAUUGCACAACCGCUUUCAAGAGCACCUCCUUUCCACCUAUUGAAAAAAUCUUAUCAUUCCAAGCAUGCAUUAAUUUCCAAAUUCUCUCCUUAAUGUUGUUGAAUAGUUGUGAUUUAUCCCUUUCUUAUAUGCGGGGAGGCCCAAGUAAGAUUCAUGACACUCACAAAUCGGCAUGCCCAAAAUUUGCUGAAAAGAAUGCUUAACAGCCUCCAGAGUGUUAGGCGAAAAGGACAUAAACGACUUAUCCGUAGUUAAAAGUUGACUAGAAGCACGAUGAUAGAUAUCUAGAGCACGUUUGAUUGAAUCAUAUGAUCAGUCAUUAGCUUGACAUAAGAGGAGACUAUCAUUCGCAAAUAAAAGAUGUGUAAUUGUCGGAGAGUGUCGAGACACAACCAGACCCUUAAGUCUUCCAACUUGUUCUUCAUACUGUAGCAAGCGUGAAAGACCUUCUGAAAAAAUAAGAAGGAGAUAUGGGAAGAGCGGAUCACCUUGACGUAAGCCUCGUUGAGGAACAACUGAACUUGAAACUACACCAUUGAUAAGGAAAGAAAAGGAAUUUUUAUGUAGACAAGUCAUAAUGAGUGAAAUCCAUUUAAUAUUAAACCCCAUCUUCCCCAUAACAGCAGCGAUAAAAGACCAUUCAACUCGAUCAAAGGCUUUUCUCAUAUCAAGUUUGAGGGCAGCAAAACCCUUAGAGCCUUGUGUCCUAUGUUUCAAACUGUGCACCAUUUCAAAAGCAACAAGAAUGUUAUCCGUAAUCAAAUGAUUAGAAAGAAACGCACUUUGAGUUUCAAAGAUAACCGAAUGAAGAACCUCUUUGAAUCGUAAUGCUAGUAUUUUUGAAAUAAUGUUAUAAGUAACAUUGCAUAAGCUUAUCAGGCGAAAAUUCUUCAUUGUCUUUGGUUUUUUGACCUUCAGAAUUAAAGUAAUGAGUGUAUGGUUGAAGGCUUCAAGACUGGCACCAUUGUUCAAGACAUUAAGAACCACCUUAGUUACUAAAUCACCCACAAUAUCCCAAUUGUGUUGAUAAAACAUUGCCGACAUUCCAUCCAAACCUGGACUUUUAUCUGAACCCAUAGUUUUUGAAGCUGCAGUAACCUCCGAAGCAGUGAAGUCCUAUGAUAAAAAUUCAUUUUGUUCCAAAGAUUGUUGUUGGAAUUGUGGAUAAGACAUGAGAUAAAGCCCAAUGAUCCUCAUCAGAUGCAGUAAAAAGGCUUUUAAAAUAACCAGCAACCAAGUUAGAGAUUCCCUCUUUUGUAGUUGUGAUAUUUCCAUGAUCAUGAAUAAGAGCUUUGAUCCAAUUGUUUGAAUGUCGAGUUGAAGCUUUAAAGUGAAAGAAUUUGGUGUUACGAUCCCCCAAUUGAAGCCAUUCGACCCUCGAUCGUUGUUGCCAAUAUUGUUCUUCAUUUGCCAACAAUUCAUCCAAAAUAGAUUCAACUGAUUGAACAUUAAGGGAAUAAUUUGGAUCAGAACUAUCAGCAAAAUUUAAUUGUUGGACUUGUUUCUGUGCAAGAAAAAUAUCCUUUUUCAUUUUUCCAAAUUUCCUGAGAUGUCAUCCUUAAAGUUUUUUAGCACAAUUAUUCAAAGAAGUCACUAUACUAGUGGCACGGUCAUCACAUGCAUUACGACACCAAGAGUUGGAAAUAAUUUCAGAACACUCCUUAUCUUUAAGCAAAAAUUUCUCAAAAUCUAAACUGAGAUCUUCUUGGGGCAAUACAGGUUGGUGUUUGAGUGAAAACAAUUUCAACCAUUAAUACUCUAUGGUCUGAACCGUAGUAGUUUAAGUGACUUAGAUUUGGCAAGACUAAAGUGUCCUUCCAUACAUUUUAAAUGAAACACCAAUCAAUUCUCUCCUCUAAACCAUAUGGAUUUUUCUUAUUUUUAGCCCAAGUGAAAUCGUCAGCAGCAACAAGUAAGUCACUCAAAAGACAUUGAUCGAGUGUCGUUCGAAAAAGUUGCAUUUGAUUAUCACUUCUUUGCAUGCGGACCACCAUUUUUACGUUCAUGUGAGAAAAUUUCAUUCAUGUCACCAAUUAACAACCAUGGAUCAAGUGGUGAAACAUCAGCUAAUCUCCUUAUUGAUUUCCAAGUAUACUUUUUAUUAAUAGCUUCGGGAAAACAAUAAAUAGCAAAAAAAAGCCAACGAGGGCCCUCAUCAAGCAAGACAUAACAAUUUAAAUAAUUUGUAUUCAUUGAUAAAAGAGUUACAUCAACACCAUCUUGCCACAAUAACAGAAUACCACCUUUCAAUCCAACCCGAGCAACUUCUAAUCCGUUAUUAAAAUUUAAAACAUUUUUAAAGCGAGAAAGAGCACCAUCACACAAU